rnacentral:rRNA from 1 species
CGCAAGCCUGAUGGAGCAACACCGCGUGAGUGAAGAAGGGUUUACGGGCUCGUAAAGCUCUGUUGUUAAAGUAAGAACACGUAUGAGAGUAACUGUUCAUACGUUGACGGUAUUUAACCAGAAAGUCACGGCUAACUACGUUCCAGCAGCCGCGGUAAUACGUAGGUGGGCAAGCGUUAUCCGGAUUUAUUGGGCGUAAAGAGAGUGCAGGCGGUUUUCUAAGUCUGAUGUGAAAGCCUUCGGCUUAACCGGAGAAGUGCAUCGGAAACUGGAUAACUUGAGUGCAGAAGAGGGUAGUGGAACUCCAUGUGUAGCGGUGGAAUGCGUAGAUAUAUGGAAGAACACCAGUGGCGAAGGCGGCUACCUGGUCUGCAACUGACGCUGAGACUCGAAAGCAUGGGUAGCGAACAGGAUUAGAUACCCCUGGUAG